ensembl:lncRNA LINC01639 long intergenic non-protein coding RNA 1639
AGCAGAGGGACUGCCUUCCAGAGACUUUGGAUCAUCACCACGAUGGGUUGAUUUUACAAAUUUAGCCACUGUCACCGGAGGCCUGGCUGAACUUCAGAGUUUCUUCUCCAGCGUCGGUUUCUUGAUUGCCUAAAGUUCCUUCCAGUCUAAUACUCUGGGAUUCUGGGCCAGUUUCUGGUCUGUCACAGCUGAAUAAGAGUGCAAGGGCAGGAGUGGAAUGUUCAGACUGCUCCAAGAGGACCUUGGCCCAGGUGAGGCAGCAGGCCGGCACCCUGCCCACAACCACAUAGAGGGCCCAGGCUUGUCUGACGCCUCAGGCUGUGCUCUCUCCAGCUCACUGCGGUGCCUCUCCCAGAUUCGGGCACACUCUGGUGUAACCUGCUUCGCUCGUUCGCGGGAUGGGUGGUGAGCAUGGAGCCCAUUUUCCCAUGUGGCAUUUCAGCAACAGGACUUGGCUAUUUGAAACUCCCCAGACAUAGCAGGAUUUAAAAAACGGAUCCCCUCUGGCUGGGCAUUUAGGUUGCUUUCACUUCUGGGCUGCUAUAAACAGCCUGCAGUUACUGCCUCAGGACGCCUUUCUGGAAGGUGAGUUUCUUGGCCAGGGGAUAUCGCACAUGCACUUUGGAGCCUCUGAGCCUUUGCACAGGCUGGUCCCUUUGCCUGGCUGCCCCUCUCCCAUUUAUCCCUAGAUUCUUCUGCAGCACACACACUGCCUCCUCUGAAGUGUCCUGGCUGCAUGUGCUGCUCUCCUUGCCCUGGGCUGCCCUCUUCUCCCUGGUGUCAUGAGUAUCUGCUGACCUUCUGCUUCUCCCAUGACAGAGUGCCUUCCUUCUCUUCCUUCUCUGCCUUGGCCUCCAGCACGUAGUAGGCGCCUAGGAAAUGUUUUCCAGCAGAACGAGCCAUCUCCUGGCUGGUUUAGCAGUGUGGGAUUGUGUGGUGUUUCUAUUAGUC